GACGAACGCUGGCGGCGUGCCUAAUACAUGCAAGUCGAACGCAGUGGGGACGGGUGAGUAACACGUGGGUAACCUCCCAUCAGAGGGGAUAACACUUGGAAACAGGUGCUAAACCGAUACUGAUGGAUGGACACGCGGUGCAUUAGCUAGUUGGUGAGGUAACGGCUGACCAAGGCGACGAUGCAUCGCCGACCUGAGAGGGUGAUCGGCCACACUGGGACUGAGACACGGCCCAGACUCCUACGGGAGGCAGCAGUGGGGAAUAUUCGGCAAUGGACGAAAGUCUGAUCGAGCAACGCCGCGUGUGUGAAGAAGGUUUUCGGAUCGUAAAACUCUGUUGUUUGAGAAGCGGUAUCUAACGAGGAAGCCACGGCUAACUCCGUGCCAGCAGCCGCGGUAAUAC
rnacentral:rRNA from 1 species